GUGUACUGUAUGGUGACUGACAUAAUUUAAAUAAAAUAAAAUGAACGCAAUAAUUAUAGGCAAACCUUGAGUGUCAGCUGGUCUUCCAAGUGAUGUAUAUGGAUUGAUCACACGAAAUUCACACCCCCCUCCUGAUUCAUAAACACGCUUCCACAGGAGAGCAGGGAUGCAGACAUUACUGUUGCCUCUACUUUCACAGGAGCUAGAGAGGAAGAGUUUCCAGAGCGCUGAUCUGGGAAAUUGGGGAAGGGUCUACGGGCCCAGCAUGAUUGUAGCAGAUGUCGAUGCUGGGUAUAGCUCUCCACUCAAACCGUAAAGAUGCUAUGGGGUUCAGAGGAGAGGGGUCCUCCCCAGAGCUCCUGCUUGAGGACAGUGAUGCAUAUGGAAAAUGGGCCAGGAGAGCAAGGAGUCUGCAGAUCAUCUCCCACUCAGGAUGGUGGCACCCCAAUUCGCAUGUAAAGUAGGAAACCCCUUUAUCAGGCACUGUCCCUCUUUUUCUGUGAUACGAUUGUUUGCUGUGAAAUACCCCUCAUCUGAUAUUCAUGUGGCUCUUCAAGCUUUCCUGCAUCUUCCCCACUGGAGACUUAGUGCUUUCCCUUCCUGUACUGCAGCUUUUGGAAGUGAGUAUUUUCAGUGCCCGUCCAUGUGGUGGAGCCCAAGUCCCCGCUCUGAUGUCCACCUUGUGAUAUCAUCUGAUAAGUAAAGUAAACCGGGAGGGGCAUUUCCUCAACUGCAUGUUGGCAACAAGACGCAUCAUGCGUGUUCUCCUCCUGGUUUGUGCUACUCCAUCUCGUUGACAGUAUUCCAGAAAUAGACGUUGGAGUGGUUAGAGAUCCACGAUGCAGAGCCUAGUCACCCCCAGAUUGUCAAUCAAAGAUAGUGGGCACGCUUUCCGGAAGCUAUCGAAGCAGACAUCUGAACGAGACUGAGACACUUCAGCAGGAUUCCCCGGCAUCAGCUCACCCCUGAUGCAUGAGCAACAUGUACUUACUAUCUUACGCCCACAUUUUGGGAAUAAUGAACUGAUGAUCAGAGCAGGGGCAAGGUUCAGAUGGAAAUAAGUCUGGACAGGUUAGCCAGGCUCACUCUACAGAGCCUUGAAUGCGUGACUCAGCAGCAAGGACCAUCUCGGGAGAAAGAAUUGGAGAUCCACAGAGGAUUUUCCAAAGCAGAGCAGUACAGUCCGUCAUGGGUGUGAGAACACCCUCUCUGGGGACAGUGUGGCGGACAGUGUGUGGCUCUGCCCUGUGAUUUAGAUCUUAGGCUAUUGGGAAAUUAUGCUUUCUGUUAGUGUUUUCAGACAAGAGCUGCUGAGAGAAGACCCCAGUUUUCCUUUUAAGGAACAUGGUCAAAAAUAUGGAAGCAAAAGAAUAAGACAUGCGAUCGUUGUUUAAUUUAUGAAAUAUGAAGGGAAAGGGAAGAUGAAAGUACAUCCUCUGAAAAACGGGAGAUGUGAGAGUUCAAACAGCAGACAUAUAGACAGAUAGCUGGAUGGCAGAAUAAGAGUUCCUGCCAUCAUGCCCCAGAUCGUCGAAGUGGACAACCCAAAUCAGAGAUGACCAUGCCCAGUCUCCGUAGUAGCCCCAGGCCCGCACCGAUGAUCUCCAACUUGGUUCGGCUUACCGGGAAUGACAGGUCCUGACUCAUUCGAACCAGUUUUUAAUUCCUAACCACACAGCCCAUGACACUGAAGUGGCUGUUCAGAGAGCCAGCUUCUUUCCUGGGACGUGGCUCCUUGUCUGAUCAGACUCAGGUGAGUCUCCGCAGGUAGAUAGUGAUCCUGUUUGAGGCACCUCAGUGCCAUCAUGUGCGUAGGUGCUGUGUCAGAUCCGAGGUGACGUUGGAUGAUGCUCAGGAUAGAGUGUACACUAUGGCUGUUCCAUCCCACUUCAGCCCCAUCUCACUAAGGUGUCUGCAGAAUAGGAGCAGGUUACAGAGAGAAACCUGGUCUUUACCAGGAACAACACGUGGACCCCGAGUUGACAGACUAGCAUCAUGGAGAACACCACCAGUGCUCCAGAUGGUGGUUUCCAUCCUGAACAAAACCUUCCACGUCACCGUGUUGUUUACCACCUUAGGAUGCCGUGGGAUUCUUUCCCUUCCUUUAUUUAUAGGCUGAAAUAUAACUUCGCCUCCUUAAAUAAUAUAUGCUUCUUUUUUGAACUUAUGUAUAAAAUGGAAUAACUC